UACAGAGGGUGCAAACGUUGUUCGGAUUUACUGGGCGUAAAGCGCGUGUAGGCGGUGAUGCAAGUCGGAUGUGAAAUCCCAGGGCUCAACCCUGGAAGUGCAUUCGAUACUGCAUCGCUUGAGUCUCGGAGAGGAGGGUGGAAUUCUUGGUGUAGAGGUGAAAUUCGUAGAUAUCAGGAGGAACACCAGUGGCGAAGGCGGCCCUCUGGACGGUGACUGACGCUGAGACGCGAAAGCGUGGGUAGCAAACAGG
rnacentral:rRNA from 1 species